UAUGCUUUAAUAUAUGAUGUAUGUAGAUCUUUGAAUUCUAAAGAAUUAGUUAAAUUCUAAUAAGCAUA
rnacentral:tRNA from 1 species